rnacentral:snRNA from 1 species
GUGCUGUAGGAGAGAAGGUUAGCACUCCCCCGUAUAAGGACGGACAACACAU